GCAAUUGGAAUGAGAACAAUUUAAACCCCUUAUCGAGUAUCAAUUGGAGGGCAAGUCUGGUGCCAGCAGCCGCGGUAAUUUCAGCUCCAAUAGCGUAUAUUAAAGUUGUUGCAGUUAAAAAGCUCGUAGUUGGAUUUGUGGUGUGUCCAGUCGGCCUCUGCUCUUUGAGUGGUUGUGCUGUACUGGUCUGCCAUGUUUGGGUGGAAUCUGUGUGGCAUUAAGUUGUCGUGCAGGGGAUGCCCAUCGUUUACUGUGAAAAAAUUAGAGUGUUCAAAGCAGGCUUAUGCCGUUGAAUAUAUUAGCAUGGAAUAAUGAUAUAGGACCUUGGUACUAUUUUGUUGGUUUGCGCACUAAGGUAAUGAUUAAGAGGGACAGUUGGGGGUAUUUGUAUUCAGUUGUCAGAGGUGAAAUUCUUAGAUUUAUUGAAGACGAACUACUGCGAAAGCAUUUACCAAGGAUGUUUUCAUUAAUCAAGAACGAAAGUAUGGGGAUCGAAGAUGAUUAGAUACCAUCGUAGUCUAUACCAUAAACUAUGCCGAC
rnacentral:rRNA from 1 species